GACGAACCGUGCGAACGUUAUUCGGAAUCACUGGGCUUAAAGCGUGUGUAGGCGGAUGGGGACGUCGGUUGUUGAAAGCCCCCGGCUUAACCGGGGAACUGGCACCGAAACGCCCCGUCUCGAGGGACGUAGGGGGACCUGGAACUUCCGGUGGAGCGGUGAAAUGCGUUGAGAUCGGAAGGAACGCCCGUGGCGAAAGCGAGGUCCUGGACGUCUACUGACGCUGAGGCACGAAAGCCAGGGGAGCGAACGGG
rnacentral:misc_RNA from 1 species